CACCGAGUGCUCGCAGCCAAUCCGAAAGCGACUUGCGGGAACGCGGAAACCAUUGACCAAUCGGAGGAGCGUGCGUGCGCUGAGACGUCGUAGGCCACGCCCACAUAGCAUCUGCACCGCAGCCUCUUUCUAGGCUCACAGAAUCCUGUACCACACUGGAUUUGACGUUUUUUUUUUAAUGCCCUCCAUUUAUUUAUUUUUUUAGAAUUCCUGCUCGAUUAUCCAAGGUCUUGUUUUCUUCGUUUGAGGCGACUCGUUCACAGGGUGUACCUAAUGAUGCGGCCAGUGAGUGUGAACAAAUACCAUGAAGUGAACCAUUUACAAUGCAGUCCACUCUGCUGCUUGGCUUCUCUCUCAAUGAGCAUCUUGAGAUUUUGAAAAAGUGACAAACGGCUCCAGAGAAGAGGAAAGGAGAAGAUGCAACCAAAAGGCCACCUCUGAUUGGAAGCUCUGGCUCAUCUGAAAAUGGGCCUGCUCAAACUGUGACAUCAACCUUUUGCAGCGUGCUGACAAAGAGUCAGGCUGGCUGCGGGAAAUUUCCCCUUCUGCACCACUGACCCAAAUGAAAGCAAAGUGCCCAUUCCGGACCAGCGCUAUGAUUUCCUCUGUCAAGUCCACAAACCAGCCAGGUGCAUUUGACGAUGAGGAUAUCAUCUAUGAUGAGGCGAGCGGGGACCCCAUGAGGGACAUGGAGAUCAUCCACAAGAAGCUGAGGCUGAAGUACAAGGAUGAUGAUCUUCCCUAUUAUUGACAAGCUGGAGAAGACGGCAAUUAGGAACGGCGACAAGAAACUCAAACCAGAAUACGUAUUCAGACAGACGAGAGGCCAUCAGCAUUGGACAACUUAAAUUUGGAAGUUUUUCUAAGUGCGUGCGUUGCUCUUGGAUGCUGCAAUGGAAUUCAGAGGCUGAUGAAGGAUUAUUUGGAAGUUCACGACCCGACGUGUUGGUCAUCCCUUUCAAUGGCGAGCGGAGUCAAGAGGAGAUGCACAAGUUCGUCUGGCAGCACAAGAGAAAGGAACUAAGGCUCCACAGGCUGCAAGAGAAGAUCCACAGCGACUCGGUGAAGGGCUUCAGUGUGGCGCUAGUAAUGAAAUUCCAGGAUUUUAAAGAGGAAGGCAGCCAGAGCGCUGUCAAGGCAGACAACUGUUGAAGAUGAUGACAUCAUCCUUUUUCAAAUUCACUUUGCAGAGGCCGGGCUGACAAACGCCACUCACUGGCUUUCUCCUUUCCGUCCGGUAAGAUCAAUUCCCUCUCUGUGCCGAGACGCGGGUUCGCUAAACUCUGACAGCUUUGCUAUUUAAGAUGGGGAUCAGCCCCCUACUCCAAAUUGUAAGGAGCAUAUUACUCUCCAGAUACUUCAUUAAUCUCCAUCACGGCUGCUGGCGCUGUCACAGCUGACAGUGGCGACAAUACCACCUGCUUCUCUCCCCACUUGUGCAGAUAAUGCAUGUUUUUACAGUAGGCCAGAUGUCUACACUCAAUAAAACAUUUGACAAAACCAA